rnacentral:rRNA from 1 species
ACGCUCGACACCUACGGGAGGCAGCAGUGGGGGAUAUUGCACAAUGGGGGAAACCCUGAUGCAGCAACGCCGCGUGAAGGAAGAAGGUCUUCGGAUUGUAAACUUCUGUCCUCAGGGAAGAUAAUGACGGUACCUGAGGAGGAAGCUCCGGCUAACUACGUGCCACAGCCGCGGUAAUCUGAGCGGGCUGGCAAGGC